AACAGUUGGAGACGAGGAGUUCAAAACAGCCAUAAUUACUGACAACAUUAACCCUGUAUGGAACUACAAGUGUGAGGCAAUAGUCAACCAAGUUCAAGAGAUGACAUUAGAUGUUGAAGUGAUGGAUAAAGACAAAACAUCUAAAGAUGAUUUUCUUGGAAGGGUCUCCUUAAAAGUUUCUUCUGUGAUCAAGAAUGGGAGAGUUAAUGAUUGGUACCCCCUGGAAGAAGCUAAAUCAGGACAGAUACAUCUGAAACUUGCUUGGUUGACCCUCAGUGAUCAAAAAGUA